rnacentral:misc_RNA from 1 species
UAUACAACACUAGCGCUUUCAGGAGAGACCUAAAUAGAAUUGCCUUCCAUGGCUACCACCAUCAAGCCCUUUUUCCCAUAUUUUCCUUUUCCGAAACAGAUUAUUGCAUCUAACUCUCCAUGGAUUUCCUGUAAACCCAUCUCAGAUUCAGUGGCUAAUUUGCCCGUUUCUCGCUUGGCUAGACAGCAAGGGCAAGUUGCAGUCUCUGUUUCGUUCAAUCCUUCGGGAAAUUUUGAUCUUUCUUUAUAUGAUGAUGAAGAAGGUAAGUAUAAGUUUGCUUUGCUUAGUCUUUCAAUAAGUUAUCAGUGUUUAUAAUUGUGUAAUUAUUUGUCGCUCAAUACUGUAAUUGCUUUGCGCUUUUUGGUGUUUCAUAGUUUUAGCUCAGUCUUUUAAAACUCCAUUUGAAGAUAGCAUGCAAGAAUAAAAAGCUUUCACAACUAGAAAUUGAUAACCAAAUAUGAAAGAGAACUAUAUAUAUAAUUCUUCAGCGAGAAAUACUUCAAAAUGAAGUAAGAAGACCAACUUACAUAUUUAGCCCUUCUGGGUCAUGUUCAAGUUUAGAACUUGAGCAUAUCUUUUGCGUUUCUGGAGAUUUUCCUGUGAAGUAGAUAUACCUGCAUUCUAUCAAACUGAAUUGAAUUGCCGGCAGAUGCAAGAGUCCAUGAAGCUUGGACUAACCAUUGCAAGGUAGAUUAUUUGUCAUCCACAUUAUAACCACUUUGAACUUGUAUUCUUUUGAUGUGGGACUCUUGACACAUUCGCCAAGGAUUUUAGGAAAAGCAUGUAUGAAAUUGACAUAGAUGCGUUUGGUUUAAGAAAACUAGCUCGAGCACAAUAUUUCACUUUUUAUUCUCUAAUUUUCUUUAAAUUGAACUUCAAUUAAGUAUGCAGAAGAGGAAUCAGAAAUGCUCAUAGUUUGGUGAUCAAUAGUUGAGCUGAAAUGAUCCAUGGAAUAUUGAAUUAAACCUUUCUGUUUGCAUUAUCUGUUUGAGUGAGUUAGUUAGUUAUCCUUGACAUUGACAGAUUCCGCUUCAUUUUCACCUCCAAUGCCCCCAACUGAGGGUCGAUUUGAUGUUGUUAUCAAUAACGAUGUUAUUGGCCGUCUUGAUUUAUCCCCCUUUCACUCGGUUACAGGAAUUACUUCACCUUCAUCAGGUAAGCCCAAAACCAUGCUUAAAAGAGUAAUUGUUAAAUGCUGCUACAUGGCCCUGAUGAAGUUUUCCUGUUAACUUUGCUUUAGCUGAGCCUAAAGAAUUUCUUGAGCGUACAAUUGGAUUCACCAUUAACUAUACAAGAGAAGAUCAGCAUGAUCCUCGAGAACUAUCAGAAUUUCCUGAUAUAAGACUCUGGUUUGUGAGACUUGAUGCUACUUAUCCUUGGCUACCUGUCUUGUUAGAUUGGAGAGCUGGAGAGCUUGCCCGUUAUGCAGCCAUGUUAGUCCCUCACCAGGUAAUAGACAGUCGACGAGGGUAUAUGUAUAUGAUUCGGUAGUCGAUGACGGUAUAUGUAUAUGAUUCGGUAGCCUAACUGCAUUUUUAAUGACCUAACUUCGGAGAUUGUCUGUUUGGCAGAUGAAUAUGAAAAUGGGUGUUGUUUUUAAUCCUGAGGCAUUGGAAUUGUUUAUCAUGGAGAAAGUUUUCAUUGUAUAUUCUUGGUUGAAGCAGCAUAAUUUUCCAAAGCCUAGACUGAAGACGAGUGACAUGGCCAGGAUGCUUGGAUUUGGGAUAGGAGAUGAACUUUUUGAAUUGGUGGAUCAAUCCCCACCUGCUUUAUAAACAGGCAAUGCUAAAUCUGACAACUUUUUUCCAUAGGCUGAUCAGAAAUUUCCUAUGACGCCUCAUGAUGGAGUUUGAAGAUAUAUCGUAUAAGCUGCUGGGUGUCAAUUGGCAUCUUGAAGGAGCUGCAACCAACAGUCAGUAACUGCUGAGAAGCAGCUGCUUGGAAGAGAUCUCUGAAGCACCACACCAACAGACGCCGAGUUAUGCCAUAUACAGCUAUACACUCUUAUGAGUGCUUGAUUCUUUGUACCUUCAGCAGUAGAUUUGUGCAACCUUUAAUGAACUUCAGAAUCCAGAUAAAAGAAAUAAGAAAUAUUUAAUGCAAUGUGCAUUAGAAGAUUUUCGUUGAAAAUAAUUUGAAAUAAUCUGCUUCUCUCAUCUCUGCACAUUUGCAAUUGAUAAUACCAAAU